rnacentral:rRNA from 1 species
GUUAUUACGCCGUAACUUCGGGAGAAGGGGUGCUUUUUAGGGUGAAUAGCCCAGAAAAGCCGCAGUGAAUAGGCCCAGGCGACUGUUUAGCAAAAACACAGGUCUCUGCGAAGCCGCAAGGCGAAGUAUAGGGGCUGACACCUGCCCGGUGCUGGAAGGUUAAGGGGAGAGGUUAGCGCAAGCGAAGCUUUGAACCGAAGCCCCAGUAAACGGCGGCCGUAACUAUAACGGUCCUAAGGUAGCGAAAUUCCUUGUCGGGUAAGUUCCGACCCGCACGAAAGGUGUAACGAUCUGGGCACUGUCUCAACGAGAGACUCGGUGAAAUUAUAGUACCUGUGAAGAUGCAGGUUACCCGCGACAGGACGGAAAGACCCCGUGGAGCUUUACUGCAGCCUGAUAUUGAAUUUUGGUACAGCUUGUACAGGAUAGGUAGGAGCCUGAGAAGCCGGAGCGCCAGCUUCGGUGGAGGCGUUGGUGGGAUACUACCCUGGCUGUAUUGAAAUUCUAACCCGCGCCCCUUAUCGGGGUGGGAGACAGUGUCAGGUGGGCAGUUUGACUGGGGCGGUCGCCUCCUAAAGAGUAACGGAGGCGCCCAAAGGUUCCCUCAGAAUGGUUGGAAAUCAUUCGUAGAGUGUAAAGGCACAAGGGAGCUUGACUGCGAGACCUACAAGUCGAGCAGGGACGAAAGUCGGGCUUAGUGAUCCGGUGGUUCCGCAUGGAAGGGCCAUCGCUCAACGGAUAAAAGCUACCCCGGGGAUAACAGGCUUAUCUCCCCCAAGAGUCCACAUCGACGGGGAGGUUUGGCACCUCGAUGUCGGCUCAUCGCAUCCUGGGGCUGUAGUCGGUCCCAAGGGUUGGGCUGUUCGCCCAUUAAAGCGGUACGCGAGCUGGGUUCAGAACGUCGUGAGACAGUUCGGUCCCUAUCCGUCGCGGGCGCAGGAAAUUUGAGAGGAGCUGUCCUUAGUACGAGAGGACCGGGAUGGACGCACCGCUGGUGUACCAGUUGUCUUGCCAAAGGCAUAGCUGGGUAGCUACGUGCGGACGGGAUAAGUGCUGAAAGCAUCUAAGCAUGAAGCCCCCCUCAAGAUGAGAUUUCCCAUGGCGCAAGCUAGUAAGAUCCCUGAAAGAUGAUCAGGUUGAUAGGUCAGAGGUGGAAGCAUGGUGACAUGUGGAGCUGACUGAUACUAAUAGAUCGAGGACUUAACCAA